CAGUCGCCGCGGUAAUACAGAGGGUGCGAGCGUUAAUCGGAUUUACUGGGCGUAAAGCGUGCGUAGGCGGCUUUUUAAGUCGGAUGUGAAAUCCCUGAGCUUAACUUAGGAAUUGCAUUCGAUACUGGGAAGCUAGAGUAUGGGAGAGGAUGGUAGAAUUCCAGGUGUAGCGGUGAAAUGCGUAGAGAUCUGGAGGAAUACCGAUGGCGAAGGCAGCCAUCUGGCCUAAUACUGACGCUGUGGUACGAAAGCAUGGGGAGCAAACAGGAUUAGAUACCCCCGUAGUCCCUGUCUCUUAUAC
rnacentral:rRNA from 1 species